rnacentral:ribozyme from 1 species
UCAAAUAUUUGUGCGCAAAUUGUGCCCCGGACCUUAAAUUUUUCCGUUUUUUCUUUUCGGUUUUUCUUUUGCUUUGGCCUUUUGAGUCUUGGUGCUUAUUCGGUUAUUUAAAAAAAAAG